rnacentral:rRNA from 1 species
UAAGGAAUAUUGGUCAAUGGACGCAAGUCUGAACCAGCCAUGCCGCGUGAAGGAUGAAGGUCCUCUGGAUUGUAAACUUCUUUUAUCUGGGACGAAAACGGGAUUUUUAUCUCAAUUGACGGUACCAGAGGAAUAAGCACCGGCUAACUCCGUGCCAGCAGCCGCGGUAAUACGGAGGGUGCGAGCGUUAUCCGGAUUUACUGGGUUUAAAGGGUGCGUAGGUGGGCUUAUAAGUCAGUGGUGAAAUCUCUCAGCUUAACUGAGAAACUGCCAUUGAUACUGCAGGCCUAGAGUAUAGAUGACGUUGGCGGAAUAUGACAUGUAGUGGUGAAAUACUUAGAUAUGUCAUAGAACACCGAUUGCGAAGGCAGCUAACGAAACUAUAACUGACGCUGAGGCACGAAAGUGCGGGGAUCAAAC